rnacentral:rRNA from 1 species
UACGUAGGGAGCAAGCGUUGUCCGGAAUUAUUGGGCGUAAAGAGCUCGUAGGCGGCUUGUCGCGUCGGAUGUGAAAGCCCGGGGCUUAACCCCGGGUCUGCAUUCGAUACGGGCAGGCUAGAGUUCGGUAGGGGAGAUCGGAAUUCCUGGUGUAGCGGUGAAAUGCGCAGAUAUCAGGAGGAACACCGGUGGCGAAGGCGGAUCUCUGGGCCGAUACUGACGCUGAGGAGCGAAAGCGUGGGGAGCGAACAGG